ensembl:lncRNA
CUUGUCUAUUCGGGGGAAGGCGCCACUGGGGACAUCACGAAGCAAAAAAAGAAGAAGAAAAGGGCCAGAAAGAAGAAUGAUGAACCUAUGUCAUUAAACGAAGAAUCUUUGGCCUCAGACCUGUUGGAUAACAACCUGCCAAAUGUACAGGAAGAAUCUUCUCAAAGAGAUUGUAAUGCCAACGAAGUGGAUGAUAUUCCAGGCCCACUCAUUGAUGCCAAUUCCUCGACAGAGAGCCAGCCUAAUUCAUUGAAAGCUUACGGUACAAAACUACCUGAGGGCAGAACUGUACCAAAAACGACUCAGGCUGAGGAAAACCAGUCAGUUCAGGAUGAGUCAUCCAAGUCAGUUCAGGCUGAGUCAUCCAAGUCAGUUCAGGAUGAGUC